rnacentral:lncRNA from 1 species
UCUUUGAAGCUAGCUCUUGUAGCAACUGUUUCAUCGAUGAUCUCCGCUAGCGGCGGAGUUCUGAUGCGCCGCCUCCUUGCUUCCGGUGGACGACAGCGGACCUUCAUCUUGACACGUGUGCAUGCAUCGCCGGGCGAACGUACACGCGGUGGGUGACGUGUCCCUCUUUCCUCGACGGUUUACUCUAUGGACUUACGGCCCAUAGCUGUUUUCUUUGGUUGGCC